rnacentral:sRNA from 1 species
AUAUCUCUCUGUACGGGAAGGAUGAGAAGCUUCGACUAAGGUUCGAUUCGAGCGUCAGCGAGAAAGCGUUGCCGCAGGCAACGACCCGAAGGGCGAAGCGCGCAGCGCUGAGUCAUCCUUCCCCCACCACAA